rnacentral:lncRNA from 1 species
CCAAAAUUCACCCCAAAUCCAUCCCCAAAACCAUCCCAAAAUCACCUCAAAAUCCAUCCCAAACUCACCCCCAAAUUCCAUCUCAAAACCACCCCAAAAUCACCUCAAAAUUCACCCCAAACUCAACCCAAAUCCAUCCCAAAUCCACCCCAAAAUCCACCCCAGAAUCACCUCAAAAUCCAUCCCAAAUUCACCCCAAAUCCACCCCCAAAUUCCAUCUCAAAAAUCCCCCCAAAAUCCACCCCAAAUCCACCAAAAAUCCAUCCCAAAAUCCAUCCCAAAUCCACUCCCAAAAUCCCUCCCAAACUCACCCCAAACUCACCCCAAAUGCAUCCCAAAAUCCCCCCCAAAACUACCCCAAAUCACCCCAAAAUCCAAACGAAAUCCACCCCAAAUCCACCCCUAAACUCCAUCCCAAAUCCACCCCAAAAUCCAUCCCAAAAUCCACCCCUAAACUCCAUCCCGAAUCCACCCCUGAAAUCCGUCCCAAAUCCACCCCUAAAUCACCCCAAAUUCACCCCAAAAUUCAAACGAAAUCCACCCCAAAAUCCACCCCAAAUCCACCCCUAAGCUAUCCAAAAUCACCCCAAAAUUCAAACGAAAUCCACCCCAAAUUCGCCCCCAAAAUCCAUCCCAAAUCCACCCCAAAAAUCCACCAAAAAUCCCCCCAAAAUAACCCCAAAUUCACCCCAAAAUCCAUCCCCAAAUCCACCCUGAAAUACAUCCCAAAAUCACCCCAAGAUCCAUCCCAAAAUCCACCCCAAAUCCACCCCCUAAAUCACCCCAAAUCACCCCGAAAUUCCACCACAAAUCCAUCCCAAAAUCCACCCCAAAACUACCCAAAAUCACCCCAAAAUUCAAAUGAAAUCCAUCCCAAAUUCACUCCCCAAACCCCCCACGAAAUUCACCCCAAAUCCACCCCAAAAUACCCCAAAAUCCAUCUAAAAUCCAUCCCCAAAAUCCAUCCCAAAUCCACCCCAAAUCCACCCCCAAAAUCCAUCCCAAAUCCACCCCCGAAAUCCAUCCCAAAUCCACCCCUAAAUCACNNNNNNNNNNNNNNNNNNNNCACCCCAAAAUUACCCAAAAUCACCCCCAAAACCACCCCAAAAUCCACCAAAAAUCCCCCUCAAAAUCACCCCAAAAUUACCCAAAAUCCCCUAAAUCCGACCCCAAAUCCAUGGGGGACAUCCUUGAGGAACAUCUUGAGGAACCCCG